AAAAAAAAAAGAAAGAAAGAAGAGGUAUCGGGAAAGGAAUGGUUGGUGAAAGAAAAAUGGUUAAGGAAAAAAUUUAAGUGCACUUUUCAUGGUAAAAAUGAAGUGAAAUUUUAAAUUUUGAAACCAUAGGGUCCAGCAAUCCUCUAGAAAAGAAAAAGGACCGAAUCUGUCGAUUCAUGUCAAUUCACCCGAUUCACUAUCGAUUCUUCCUAUUUGGUCAUGCUUAAGGAACAUUUGCCAUUCAGCCUAUAGAUUCAAAUCGCUAGGAUGGAGAAUCGAAUCGAAUUGAAUUGCACAAUUUGAAUAGAGAAUUGUACGAAUCUAACAACAGUCAAUAGUUAGCCUGAAAGGAGGAAAGGAGAAAAAAAAGGUCUGCAUGGCCAUGUGCCUGUUCACAAAGAUAAAAUAUAGCAUAAAGAAUUAAGAGUAGAUUUCUCCUGCUAUAAAAGCAUUACUAAUUUAGCAUCUUGUGGACUUAAAGAACCAUUUGGCUGAUUCGAAAAACUAUCAAUUUCUUUACUGCAGAGUUUAAAACUAUCAGGAAGAUUUGUUUGAAUUUUGGGGACAUAAGGAUGAGGCAUAUAUACAGGGAAGCUAAUAGAAGUGCAGAUUGGUAGGCAAAUUGGGCCAUUUUGCUGCCUGUAGGGUCUAAGAUUUUGCAACAAGUUCCUGAUGGUCUGAUGUCAUGGCUGUUGCAGGAUGGCAGUGGAGUUUCUUACUUCCGUCUCUGCACUGUGUAUUCCUCAGAGCUGUAGCUCUCUUUUUGUUACCAAAAAUUCUCAAAGUUAGCUCAAGUUUGGUUUGAUUUGUGUUUACAAGUUACUGAAUUGAGCUCAAGCUCAUUACCAAACACAAAAGCUAAGUUCAUAACACAGAAGGACAAAGUCAAGUAUACUAAAUUCUUAGUUUAAAAUUAUAAAUUAUUGUUUUUGCAUAUGGUUUUUAUCUAAAUUGUGCUAAGUUCUUAUAGUGUAAAAUUAUAAAAAUUGUGUUUGCAUAUUGUUUUAUAAAUUAUUGUGUUUUACCGUUUUGAAUAUGGUUUUUACCUGUAUGGAGAAUAUUAUAAGCUUCUUUAUAAAAGAUAUCUCCUUAAUAUACUUCUUACUUCACCUGGAGCGAUAAAUGUAAUCAAACUAGAUCAAUAAGGGGUCCAUAAAUAUGUUUCAUUAACUCGUUCUUAAACCUCUUUCUUGCUUGUAAAAGUGUUCUAAAAUCAAGUUUGAGAUUGUUUGUUAUUGAUAAAUGAACACAAAUAAUCUCUUACUGAUAAAAAAAAUGAGCCAUUUGAAAACUGUUCAAAUCCAGUGGAAAACAUUAAAAAAGAAUAAAAAUGAGCCAGUCAUCAUUGCUUUUUAUUUUGGUGGGUGAAGUGCUUUACAAAUUGCAAGAAUAAAGUCUUUAAAGAAGAAAAAAGA
rnacentral:misc_RNA from 1 species